rnacentral:rRNA from 1 species
AGUGAACGCUGGCGGCGUGCCUAAUACAUGCAAGUCGAACGGAGUGGCGCAUGGGUGAGUAAUAUAUAGCUAAUCUGCCCCUUGCUGGAGGACAACAGUUAGAAAUGACUGCUAAUACUCCAUAGGAAGGGAUGAGACUAUAUCGUAUCAGCUAGUCGGUGGGGUAACGGCCUACCGAGGCUAUGACGCGUAACUGGUCUGAGAGGAUGAUCAGUCACAUUGGAACUGAGACACGGUACAAACUCCUACGGCAGGCAGCAGUAGGGAAUAUUGCGCAGUGGGGGGAGCCCGGACGCAGCAACGCCGCGUGAAGGAUGACACUUAUCGGAGCGUAAACUCCUUUUGUUAGGGAAGCGGUACCUAACGAAUAAGCACCGGCUAACUCCGUGCCAGCAGCCGCGGUAAUUC